GAAGGUAUAGCUCAGUGGUAGAGUGUGUGCUUAGCACGCACGAAGUCCUGGGUUCAAUCCCCAGUACCUUCA
rnacentral:tRNA from 1 species